rnacentral:rRNA from 1 species
UACGUGGGGUGCAAGCGUUAUCCGGAUUUACUGGGCGUAAAGCGUACCGUCGGCGGUUUUUCAAGUCUCUUGUUUAAGCCCAAGGCUCAACUUUGGACAAGCAAGAGAAACUGAUAAACUUGAAUCUGUUCGGGGUAGUUGGAAUUCUCGGUGGAGGGGUGAAAUCCGUAGAUAUCGAGAGGAACGCCAAUCGCGUAGGCAGACUACUAGGACAAGAUUGACGCUCAGGGACGACAGCUAGGGUAGCCAAGCGG